rnacentral:lncRNA from 1 species
ACCCGAGUCACGGAACCCAAAUCACAAAAACCAAAUCACAAAACGCAGAUCACCAAACCCAAAUCACCAACCCCAAAUCACCAACCCCGAGUCACCAACCCCAAAUCACCAAACCCCAGUCACCGAACCCAAGUCACCAAAUCCCAGUCACCAACCCCAAAUCACCAACUCCAAAUCACCAAACCCCAGUCACCGAACCCAAGUCACCAAAUCCCAGUCACCAGCCCCAAAUCACCAACCCCGAGUCACCAACCUCAAAUCACCAAACCCCAAUCACCGAACCCAAGUCACCAGCCCCAAAUCACCAACCCCGAGUCACCAACCUCAAAUCACCAAACCCCAAUCACCGAACCCAAGUCACCAGCCCCAAAUCACCGAACCCCAAUCACCAAAUCCCGGUCACCAACCCCAAGUCACCCAACCCAGAUCACCAAACCCCAGUCACCAAACUCUGGUCACCAACCCCAAGCCACCAAAUCGAAAUCACUGAACCCAAGUCACGGAACCCAAAUCACUAAAACCAAAUCACCAAACCCAAAUCAUCAAACCCCAGUCACCAAACCCAAGUCACCAAAUCCCAGUCACCAACCCCAAAUCACCAAAACCCAGAUCACCAAACCCAAAUCACCAAACCCCAAUCACCGAACCCAAAUCACCAAACCCCAAUCACCAACCCCGAGUCACCAAACCCAAAUCACCAAACCCCAAUCACCAACCCCGAGUCACCAAAUCCCAGUCACCAACCCCAAAUCACCAACCCCAAGUCACCAACCCCAAAUCACCAAACCCCAGUCACCGAACCCAAGUCACCAAAUCCCAGUCACCAACCCCAAAUCACCAACCCUGAGUCACCAACACCGAGUCACCAACCCCAAGUCACCGAACCCAAGUCACCGAACCCAAAUCACCAAACCCAAGUCAGGAAAACCAAAUCACCAAACCCAAGCCACCAAACCUGAGUCACCAAACCCAACUUACCAAACCCCAGUCACCGAACCCAAGCCACCAAAUCAAAAUCACCAAACCCAAGUCACGGAACCGAGCUCACGAAAACCAAGUCACCAAACCCAAAUCACCAAACCCAACGCACCGAAUCCAAGCCACGAAACCCCAGUCAGGAAACCCCAGUCACCAAACCCAAGCCACCAAACCCAGAUCACCAAACCCAAGUCUCCGAACCCAAGUCACCAAACCCAAAUCACCAAACCCAACGCACCGAAUCCAAGCCACGAAACCCCAGUCAGGAAACCCCAGUCACCAAACCCAAGCCACCAAACCCAGAUCACCAAACCCAAGUCUCCGAACCCAAGUCACCAAACACAAAUCACCAAACCCAAGCCACCAAACCCAAGUCACCAAAGCCAAAUCACUGAGCCAAACUCGCCAAACCCAAUCACAAAACCCAAGCCACCAAACCCAACUCACCAAACCCAAGUCACCGAACCCAGAUAUCCGAACUCAAGUCACCAAACCCAAAUCAGUGGACUAAGGAGUCCACAAAUAGGCUGGACAAAAGUUCUGGAAUAA